CAGCCGGAUCUAGUAGUACGCAGUUAACGGUAUAAUGUUAAAGUGCUAGGUGAUGAUGAAAAAUUAGUACACGCGAAUUGUAAUAAAAUUUGAAGCGGUUUCAACCAGUUCCGCACUUACCGCGUGUGUUUAAUUUUUCCUUUAACUUUGUUACUGGCGUACUUCAAGACAGCAAUACCACCGGCGCUGCAAAAGAAUACAAGCCAUUUGUGAAUUGAGGAGCAGAGGUGCUGAGGUUAUUUGUUAGGUAG